AUUGAACGCUGGCGGCAGGCUUAACACAUGCAAGUCGAGCGGAGUGAUGGUGCUUGCACUAUCACUUAGCGGCGGACGGGUGAGUAAUGCUUAGGAAUCUGCCUAUUAGUGGGGGACAACAUCUCGAAAGGGAUGCUAAUACCGCAUACGUCCUACGGGAGAAAGCAGGGGAUCACUUGUGACCUUGCGCUAAUAGAUGAGCCUAAGUCGGAUUAGCUAGUUGGUGGGGUAAAGGCCUACCAAGGCGACGAUCUGUAGCGGGUCUGAGAGGAUGAUCCGCCACACCGGGACUGAGACACGGCCCAGACUCCUACGGGAGGCAGCAGUGGGGAAUAUUGGACAAUGGGGGGAACCCUGAUCCAGCCAUGCCGCGUGUGUGAAGAAGGCCUUAUGGUUGUAAAGCACUUUAAGCGAGGAGGAGGCUCUUUUGGUUAAUACCCAAGGUGAGUGGACGUUACUCGCAGAAUAAGCACCGGCUAACUCUGUGCCAGCCGCCGCCGUAA
rnacentral:rRNA from 1 species